GAUUUGCUACGAGAUUUACUUCAAGGCAAAUGAUGUUUACAACGAGCAGUGGCAGAAUGCUUGGAUCAUCCCAGCCUUCUGGCAAAUCUUAUCUUUCUCUCUGCUAUGUGUCAUUUGUGUUCUUUGGGCUCCUUCUCAGAAUUCUACGCGGUAUGCUUACUCUGGUGAAGCAAAUGAAGAUUUUGACAAAGAUGAUACUAAUUUGACACUCAUAAAACCCUCUCCAACACCUUCAAAAGAUUUUAGAACUGCACCGGAAACUAGAACGGUGCAGGGCAGCAAUGGAGCAUCCUCUAAUGGUGAUUUGGAAGAAGACAAGACAGAGUGACAUAAAAACCCCACCUGUGAAUCUGUGAUUCUUAGAACUCGGUUCAAUACUCGGAUUCACUUAAAUCAAGACCUUGUUAUAGUUGUAACAAUGAUCCCACUUUUUUUUUUAAUGUUAAUAUAGUUUGUGACAUGUUAUUUAACAUGUUUUUUUGUAUCGAACAUUAUCUACUAAUGUUGCAGAACAAUGGAUACCAUACUUAACCAGGAAAGCAUGUACCAUGACAAUAUAAAGGAGGUUCCAGCAAUUGAGAAUAUUGGAAAGGAUUGUAAA